AUCAUGUCACUUUCACUUGUGGCUGGGUUUUUGACGUUGUCAGGGUCCAGUCUUGAGUGACUUUUUGGAAGUCCUUUGAUGGAGAAUAUUUCGCUUCAAUCGGGCUAAACCGUCAUAAAGCCUCUGUCGAAUGAACCAAACGACCCUUGUGCGAAAAACUCUGCUGCACAUUCCUCCUCUGGCGGGCAUGUCCGACUAUUGAUGGUUUCAUUUUGGAGCUACUGUGUGUGACUGACAGGCGCGCACAGAGCGGACUUGGACCAGAGUCCAUUUCCGGGACUGCCCGGGAGCUGAUUGGCUGUCAAGACCAACUUGCCUGGAGGCCGUUUCUUGGCGUGAAGAGCCUUAGGGGGACGAGAGGUGUAGCCGCGGAGCUAGCCGCAAACAAGGAGUUGCCAUUGCUGAUGGCAGGCUACCUACAGUUGUAGUUGAGAGCUGGUUAGUACUGUCCGAAACGCGAAUGACGUGUGACGUUUGAAGCGAUAUGUUGGUGGUCCUGUCCGGAUCACUGAUGUUCUACCUCAGGUCACUGUUCACGAACCAGAGAGUAGAAUAUCUCUUAAAAAUCUCUUGUUUUUUGGACAACCUGAAACCACCUUCUUGAAAAUUAUACAACUAGUUCAGCUAACCGCGGCUAAGCGCGUUCAACUUGUACUACCACCAACUAGUACGGGCGGUAGUUGUUGUAGCUCGCGCCCAGAGCUGAUAAUAUUGGAAAAGUACAUUACUUUGUAGCGUUACAUAUGGAAGAAUUCAA
rnacentral:misc_RNA from 1 species